UACGUAGGGUGCAAGCGUUAAUCGGAAUUACUGGGCGUAAAGCGUGCGCAGGCGGUUUUGUAAGUCAGAUGUGAAAUCCCCGGGCUUAACCUGGGAACUGCGUUUGAAACUACAAGGCUAGAGUGUGGCAGAGGGGGGUGGAAUUCCACGUGUAGCAGUGAAAUGCGUAGAGAUGUGGAGGAACACCGAUGGCGAAGGCAGCCCCCUGGGUUAACACUGACGCUCAGACGCGAAAGCGUGGGGAGCAAACAGG
rnacentral:rRNA from 1 species